ACUCCUACGGGAGGCAGCAGUGGGGAAUUUUGGACAAUGGGCGAAAGCCUGAUCCAGCAAUGCCGCGUGAGUGAAGAAGGCCUUCGGGUUGUAAAGCUCUUUUGUCAGGGAAGAAACGGUGAGAGCUAAUAUCUCUUGCUAAUGACGGUACCUGAAGAAUAAGCACCGGCUAACUACGUGCCAGCAGCCGCGGUAAUACGUAGGGUGCAAGCGUUAAUCGGAAUUACUGGGCGUAAAGCGUGCGCAGGCGGUUUUGUAAGUCUGAUGUGAAAUCCCCGGGCUCAACCUGGGAAUUGCAUUGGAGACUGCAAGGCUAGAAUCUGGCAGAGGGGGGUAGAAUUCCACGUGUAGCAGUGAAAUGCGUAGAUAUGUGGAGGAACACCGAUGGCGAAGGCAGCCCCCUGGGUCAAGAUUGACGCUCAUGCACGAAAGCGUGGGGAGCAAACAGGAUUAGAUACCCCGGUAGUCCCAUGAU
rnacentral:rRNA from 1 species